rnacentral:rRNA from 1 species
UACGGAGGGUGCGAGCGUUGUCCGGAAUCACUGGGCGUAAAGGGCGUGUAGGCGGUCCGCUAAGUCUGAUGUGAAAGCCCGGGGCUCACCCCCGGAAGUGCAUUGGAAACUGGCGGACUCGAGUCCCGGAGAGGAGAGUGGAAUUCCUGGUGUAGCGGUGAAAUGCGUAGAUAUCAGGAGGAACACCGGUGGCGAAGGCGGCUCUCUGGACGGUGACUGACGCUGAGACGCGAAAGCGUGGGGAGCAAACAGG